rnacentral:rRNA from 1 species
GUGGGGAAUAUUGGGCAAUGGGCGAAAGCCUGACCCAGCAACGCCGCGUGAGGGAAGAAUGCCUUCGGGUUGUAAACCUCUGUCUUUGGUGACGAAACAAAUGACGGUAGCCAGAGAGGAAGCCCCGGCUAACUACGUGCCAGCAGCCGCGGUAAUACGUAGGGGGCGAGCGUUGUCCGGAAUUACUGGGCGUAAAGGGUGCGUAGGUGGCCUUUUAAGUUGGAUGUGAAAUCCCCGGGCUUAACUUGGGUGGUGCAUCUAAUACUGGAGGGCUAGAGUGCAGGAGAGGGAAGCGGAAUUCCUAGUGUAGCGGUGAAAUGCGUAGAUAUUAGGAGGAACACCAGUGGCGAAGGCGGCUUUCUGGACUGUAACUGACACUGAGGCACGAAAGCGUGGGGAGCAAACAGGAUUAGAUACCCCUGUAGUCC